UUGAAAUAAACCUUGAUGGGUUGCUGCUUGGCUCUCCAGGGAGCAUGUGCACACUUGUCAUCUUUAUAUCCACCUGUGCAUCUUUUGUAGACUGGGAUAAUCUCUCUGAAUGCCAGGCACUCAGGUUUAAGGAUUGACUUUCCAGAAAGUCUUUACUUCCACUUCCAGGCCUAUGUUUCUUCAUAUACCCCCAAUGUAUGUUUUAGAAUGUAAUAAACAGGCCUUUGUGCCUAUCAAACCUAUA
rnacentral:misc_RNA from 1 species